ensembl:snRNA U6 U6 spliceosomal RNA
GUGCCUGCUCCAGCAGCACAUAUACUAAAAUUGGAACAAUUCAGAGAUUAGCAUGGCCCCUGCACAAAAGAUGACAUGCAAAUUUGUGAAGCAUUCCAUAUUUUG